rnacentral:rRNA from 1 species
UACGUAGGGGGCCAGCGUUGUUCGGAAUUACUGGGCGUAAAGGGUUCGUAGGCGGUGUGGCAAGUCGGGAGUGAAAUUUCUGGGCUCAACUCAGAGACUGCUUCGGAAACUGCUGUGCUUGAGUGUGGGAGAGGCGCGUGGAAUUGCAGGUGUAGCGGUGAAAUGCGUAGAUAUCUGCAGGAACACCCGUGGCGAAAGCGGCGCGCUGGACCACUACUGACGCUGAGGAACGAAAGCUAGGGGAGCAAACAGG